CAGAGAAAGUUGUGCCAUUUUCUUAUUUUCACAGAGCAAUUUAAGGUUUUUGCACUUUGCAUGCUCCUUGGACAAUACAUUUUCUGCCUACAUUUGUCUGUUUUUCUCAAGUUUGGACCCUUUUAAAGGAAUUUUGCGUGCAGUAAAGAGGCUACCAUUUUCUGUGUGAACAAGAUUCUUACUGAGGGAGACUCCGUGGACAUCCCAGUGGGAAUCCUCUGCUAUGAGGACAGCAGAGCUGCAGGCCCAGCAUGGCCACAACUCAACCCCUCAAGAGUGGGCAUCACCCUAGAGGGUAGGCCUGCAACGGAAGCCCUCACCAACCUACAUCAAGCGAUGUGCCUCUUGUUUGGCUUGACCUACCCACUCCACCCGCAGUACCCGAAGCGUGUGAAAAACACUUUUUUCCUUCAUUCAGCAGGUAAUGCUAAGUGAAGUGAGCUACCUCCAAAAGUUCAGAAGCUGAAGAAUGAGCUUGCAGUGUAAUACACAUUUAUGCUUCUGGCACAGCUCUUCAUGUCUGUGUCUGGAUUGUUGCACAAUUACUUUGCACUGACUAGAGCAAACAGUCUUGCAGUUGUUCAUUUUGUAUGUGAUUCUUCUUGUGCUAGAUGUGUCUAGUAUUGUUUUUUUUAAUUAUUCUACAGAGGGCACAUUUUAGAAACAUUGCCGUUUUUUUUUUUUACCAACUCUGAUCCUCACUGCAUAGUCGUUCAUAAGGCUGGUGUUCUUAAUGCCUGCUUUGCUGUGUGGUACACAAAGCAUACAAUUUUUUUCUUUUGCACUUGCAGUAUAUGCUGCUACUGCAUGGUCAGUAUAAGCUGAUUGGUCUUUUUUUUUCUUAAAUUUGAAAAAAAACAAUUAAAAAACUGUGCUCUGAUUGUAUUUAGAUUGAAAUCGUUUCACAUUUCAAUACACAUGUUCUAUUUGCAGCAUCAUAGAAAGGUACUGUAGUAAAGUAAUUUAUGCAGAAAAAAGUAAGGACAUGAUGUUUUAACUGUAGGCAAAAACCCAUUAAUCACUGUUAUUUUGGAUUUUGGUAUUUCACACAGAGCAUCAUUGUUAACACAUAUUUGUUGGUUUGUUGUGUGUUUCAGUAAAAUAAAUGAAAAGUA